GAUGAACGCUAGCGGCAGGCCUAAUACAUGCAAGUCGAACGGUAAGGCCCUUUCGGGGUACACGAGUGGCGGACGGGUGCGUAACGCGUAUGCAACAUGCCUUCCAGCGGGGGAUAUGCCAGGGAAACUUGGUGCAAUACCCCAUGGUAUUCUCGGGUCACAUGGCCUGGGGAUUAAAAACUCCGGUGCUGGGAGAUUGGCAUGCGUGACAUUAGCUAGUUGGCGGGGUAACGGCCCACCAAGGCGACGAUGUCUAGCUGGUCUGAGAGGAUGAUCAGCCACACUGGGACUGAGACACGGCCCAGACUCCUACGGGAGGCAGCAGUAGGGAAUAUUGGACAAUGGGCGAAAGCCUGAUCCAGCCAUGCCGCGUGAGGGAAGAAGG
rnacentral:rRNA from 1 species